rnacentral:rRNA from 1 species
AUUGAACGCUGGCGGCAUGCCUUACACAUGCAAGUCGAACGGAUUUUGGGGCUUGCUCCAAAGUUAGUGGCGAACGGGUGAGUAAUGCAUCGGAACGUACCCAGUCGUGGGGGAUAACGUAGCGAAAGUUACGCUAAUACCGCAUACGAUCUGAGGAUGAAAGCGGGGGACCUUCGGGCCUCGCGCGAUUGGAGCGGCCGAUGUCGGAUUAGCUAGUUGGUGAGGUAAAGGCUCACCAAGGCGACGAUCCGUAGCUGGUCUGAGAGGACGACCAGCCACACUGGAACUGAGACACGGUCCAGACUCCUACGGGAGGCAGCAGUGGGGAAUUUUGGACAAUGGGCGAAAGCCUGAUCCAGCCAUGCCGCGUGAGUGAAGAAGGCCUUCGGGUUGUAAAGCUCUUUCAGACGGAAAGAAAACUCUCGGGUGAAUAUCCCGGGAGGAUGACGGUACCGUAAGAAGAAGCACCGGCUAACUACGUGCCAGCCGCCGCCGUAA